UGGGGAAUUUUGGACAAUGGGGGAAACCCUGAUCCAGCCAUCCCGCGUGUGCGAUGAAGGCCUUCGGGUUGUAAAGCACUUUUGGCAGGAAAGAAACGUCAUGGGUUAAUACCCCGUGAAACUGCCGUUACCUGCAGAAUAAGCACCGGCUAACUACGUGCCAGCAGCCGCGGUAAUACGUAGGGUGCAAGCGUUAAUCGUAAUUACUGGGCGUAACGCGUGCGCAGGCGGUUCGGAAAGCAAGAUGUGAAAUCCCAGAGCUCAACUUUGGAACUGCAUUUAUAACUACCGGGCUAGAGUGUGUCAGAGGGAGGUGGAAUUCCGAGUGUAGCAGUGAAAUGCGUAGAUAUGCGGAGGAACACCGAUGGCGAAGGCAGCCUCCGGGGAUAACACUGACGCUAAUGCAAGAAAGCGUGGGGAGCAAACAGG
rnacentral:rRNA from 1 species